AAACAGCUACAGUAGGUAUAAAAAUUCCAAUAAUUUGCAGAAGGCAUCUCUUUAAAAACAAACAAACAAACAAAAAGGUGUUACUGAACUGGGCCUUCCAAGUGAAAAUAACAGAGCAGGGAAGACAAAGCAUCUGUGGGAAGUUCUGUCCAGAGUAAGUAGGUUCUUACCUGUGUGUUAUAUGAAUUCUCCAAGAGAAGAUUUACACAAACCAACACUUAACACUUGGGUAGAAGGAGGAGUUGAGGCUUUUCAGUAAUCUUUACCCAAUCAGGCAAGCUCUUGCCAUUUUACACCCAAAACAGAAAUCCCCUCGUAUUCUAUUACUCUGCAAAUUUGAACAUCAAAGUGGUCCUCUUAGAUACUCAACAACGAAAAAAAAGGGCAAAAAAAUCUCACAUUUUUAGUAUCACCUGUUUAAGAUACCAUUAAUAAAUAAAGAAAAAACACAGGAAAAAAACAGCACAAAAACCUGUCUUUUUCUUGUUUUUUGGCAGAUCAGUUGUGCAAAGGAUUUUCAGUGCAAUCCACCUGAUUUAGAGGAUUGAUGUGUUUGAACUCCUGAGCAAGCACAGCCAGGGAUAUCUUCCCAGGCUCCAGUUGCUUCUAAGAACUAAUACAGUGUAUUCCUGAAGGUGUUUGCUGAUUACAGUGACAGCUGAUCAGUGACAGGAGAGACUGGCAGCUGCUUUUGCACUGCAGCAGUAGAGUGUGAGCACCUUCUGCCUCCCCUCACCUGGGGUUUAUAAGGUACAACACGAAGGGCAUCCACCCUUCUCCCUACCCAGCCAUCACUCAAUCAGAGCCCUGCCAUCCCCAGCUCGUCCUGCUCUCGGCCAGACACCACUCAUGGAGAAUGGGAUCCAUGUACGACGGACUAAAUCCUUCAGUAUUAACACUGCAAACUCAAUAACCACAGCUGCAUGUAAAACCUGGUGCAAUCAUACAAUAUUUUGAUCCUAAUUUUCUGCAGUGCUAAAAAAAUGGAUUCCUUACUGCCUUAAAACAAGAUUUUUGAAAAGCAGUUUGAAAUCUCAUUUAGGAGGAUUUCAGCCCCACUCUUACAAACUCUAUGACACGCAACAUGUUUAUUAUUUAUACUUUUUAGGGGGUUAUUUGCUUUUGUUUAGUGACAUUUCCUUCAUGAAGUUCAAAGAGUAUUCCCAACGCUUGCUUACCUAAAGCCUGGGAACUAACAUCAAAAUGUCUGCAGAUGGCCAUACACACGGAUGAAACCACACCCUCCCAAUUUACAGUAGCUAAUUCCUUUUUACAGUGCUGCACAGAUGGAAGCAACCACUACACUGUACAGUAAGAAUAAACUUCUCAGCUAUGUUUAA